AUUGUGUCUUGGUAGGGAUUGAAAGAUGGUACUAAGAAAUAGAGUAUGAGAGAAUUAGUGAGAAGAAAGUUUUGUCUACUUCUACUAAGAUUUUACAAGUUGAAUGAAGGAAUGCUCUUUCUUUGAUAUAAUUUGACCUGCUCAAAAUUCUUCUUUUAAUGGAAAUGGACACAAGAUAGAGGAAGUGGGAUAUUAUGUGUUGUUAUAUCUCUUAGUAUUGUUAUAUCUUAGUAUUUUAGAGGCAUAUUGGCUGUAUGUUGUAGUUUUUGUAUUGUUAUAUCUUAGCAUUCACUAAUGCAAGCGUAGUAGUGAUAAUAUAGUCUUGGUUAUCAUUUUGAUUGAUUAUAUAUAUGUAUUUUUGGAUAAAUAGUUGUAAUACUUAAAAUAUAAUUAAUAUAUUAUGUU